AAAAAAUUAAAAAUUAGCUGGGUAUGGUAGUGUAUGCCUGUAGUCCCAGCUACUUGGGAGGCUGAGGUGAGAGGAUUGCUUGAGCCCAGGAGGUCGAGGCAGCAGUGAGCUGUGAUCAUGUCACUGCCCUCCAUCUUGGGCAACAGAGAGAGACCUUGUCUCGAAGAGAAAAAUAAAAGAAAGAAAAUGUUAAUUUCUGCUCCUGUCAGAUUAGAGGGAAAUUCAAUCUCAGUCUUUUUGCUGCUCUCCAAAGAUCCCAGAGUUGUACAUAGGAUUGAAGCAUAAGGAACAUCCUUAAAGUCAGUAGCAACUGGCCUGUACUAAUUAUUCCCAGGAUACGCAUAUCCCUUUGUGGCAGCAGUUCUGCCAGAGGCACAGGGGCUUUACCCAGUCAGUCUCCUUCAACUUGCCACGUAGCUUUCUCCAGAAUAAGUCCACCCCCUCAGGGUGCUACCGUGAAGGAGAGUAUGGUUUUGGCAUUUGAGAGCCCAGAGAGAUAUACAUGAAGAUCUGGUCUCUGGAGAGUAUUGAAGGUAGAAAAGACAAGGAGAAGAUGCUGCAGAACACCCAUAAGGGAAGAAAAAAAAAAUGAAGCCUCAAUGAAUAAGGGAAAUACCUUUCUAACCACUCCUGGGACCUGAACUACAAGAUUUGGUAGUUGACUCUCAAACCAUAAUAUACUCAUACUCAGAUGACACUUAUAAGUUGUCGCACAUAUCUGUGCAUUCCAUGCCUUUGGUAAAUGCAUACAGUUAAUCAUACAGCUAAUCCUCCUUUUCUCUUUAUGAAGUCCAGUGUUUAAAGGACCUCUUCAGGUGUCAUCAAGGAGUCAUACCAGGUCCAGCUGAACCCAACUUGCACAAGUCCAGAUUGAGGACACCAGGCAAGUAAGCACACCCCUCUAGAUUGUGCCUGAACAGGAUUUAUGCCUUUUGGGGAGUGUCACCUCUCAUUAAAACGUCUGCGAAUGCACACUCUGGUCCAGUCCCCUGUCUUUCUAAACAAGAAUGUUUGGUGAAGCAACAGUGAUUCAACACUCUCCCUUAGCGAGGUAUUGUUUGACACCUUAGAAAACACGUAGUUAUUUUUCAGAUCUAUUCAGGACCUUUCUUGUGAUUCAUCUAAAACAAACCCCUCUCUUCAGUCUCUACAGAUUACCAUAUUUAUUUUCUUUAUGGAGCUGACGACAAUCUGAACUUAUGCUUAUUUACGUGUUAACUUAUUUGUUUUAUGUCUGUCUCCUUCCACUAGAAUGUCAGUUCCUUGAGAAUAGGGGUUUUGAGGACAAUAUAUGAGAUAGAUUAGAUAUUUAAUAAUCAUAUGCUUCAUUGAGCCUCUGAUGCACAUCUUCCCCAUUGGAUCGUAAUCUAAAAUUGAGAUGUCGGAUGGGCGUAGUGGCU
rnacentral:lncRNA from 1 species